GGGGAAUAUUGCACAAUGGGCGAAAGCCUGAUGCAGCGACGCCGCGUGCGGGAUGAAGGCCUUCGGGUUGUAAACCGCUUUUGAUUGGGAGCAAGCGAGAGUGAGUGUACCUUUCGAAUAAGCACCGGCUAACUACGUGCCAGCAGCCGCGGUAAUACGUAGGGUGCAAGCGUUAUCCGGAAUUAUUGGGCGUAAAGAGCUCGUAGGCGGUUUGUCGCGUCUGGUGUGAAAGUCCAUCGCUUAACGGUGGAUCUGCGCCGGGUACGGGCAGGCUAGAGUGCGACAGGGGAGACUGGAAUUCCCGGUGUAACGGUGGAAUGUGUAGAUAUCGGGAAGAACACCAAUGGCGAAGGCAGGUCUCUGGGUCGUCACUGACGCUGAGGAGCGAAAGCGUGGGGAGCGAACAGGAUUAGAUACCCUGGUAGUCCACGCCCGUAAACGGUGGAUGCUGGAUGUGGGGCC
rnacentral:rRNA from 1 species